UACGUAGGGUGCGAGCGUUAAUCGGAAUUACUGGGCGUAAAGCGUGCGCAGGCGGUUCGCCAAGUCAGGUGUUAAAUCCCCGGGCUUAACCUGGGAAUUGCGCUUGAAACUAGCGGGCUUGAGUGUGGCAGAGGGGGGUGGAAUUCCACGUGUAGCAGUGAAAUGCGUAGAGAUGUGGAGGAACACCGAUGGCGAAGGCAGCCCCCUGGGUCAACACUGACGCUCAUGCACGAAAGCGUGGGGAGCAAACAGG
rnacentral:rRNA from 1 species